AAUGAACGUUGGCGGCGUGGAUUAGGCAUGCAAGUCGAGCGACGUCUGUCUUGUAGCAAUAUGAGGCUAAGUCGAGCGGCGUAAGGGGCAGUAAUACCUGGGAACGUACCCUGAGGUCGGGGAUAGCUGCUAGAAAUGGCGAGUAAUACCCGAUGAUCACGAGAGUGCAAAGGCUUGCCGCCUUCGGAGCGGCCCAGGCGAUAUUAGCUAGUUGGUGGGGUAACGGCCUACCAAGGCAUAGAUGUCUAGCGGGUGUGAGAGCACGACCCGCGCCACUGGCACUGAGACACUGGCCAGACACCUACGGGUGGCUGCAGUCGAGAAUCUUCGGCAAUGAGCGCAAGCUUGACCGAGCGACGCCGCGUGCGGGAUGAAGGCCUUCGGGUUGUAAACCGCUUUGGUCCGAAAGAAAGGGUAAAACUUGAUCGAUCGGAGAAACAAGGACGGGCUAAGUUCGUGCCAGCAGCCGCGGUAAGACGAACCGUCCAAACGUUAUUCGGAAUCACUGGGCUUAAAGGGCGCGUAGGCGGUUCAGCGGGUCACGGGUGAAAUCCUCCAGCUUAACUGGAGAACUGCCCUUGAUACCACUGCGGCUCGAGGAAGGAAGGGGCAAUCGGAACUGUCGGUGGAGCGGUGAAAUGCGUUGAUAUCGACAGGAACGCCGGUGGCGAAAGCGGAUUGCUGGUCCUUUUCUGACGCUGAGGCGCGAAAGCCAGGGGAGCAAACGGGAUUAGAUACCCCGGUAGUCCUGGCCUU
rnacentral:rRNA from 1 species